GCUUUCAUAUCUGCUUUAAAUGCAAGUUGAAAUUGACAACGAGAUGAGGAAUGGACCUUUGUGGGCUCACCAGCGGCGGUCUAGGAAUGAAGACCUGGGUGAGCUAAAACUUCUUAGUAAUGUUUCAAAGGAUGAUCACACCUGGUUACGUGGGACACGGUGAGCCUUUCCCCUCAAAUGCAAUACAACACUUUGAAAACAAAAUAAAACCAAACUGAGUCUAACUCUAUGACUCUAUGAGUCCCUAAAAGCUUCAAAACUGUUGGAUCACCGAAUCAUCAUUCUGGGUGCCGGUUUCCAACAGUAAUACUUAGUAAUAGAUUACUUAGAAAUCAUGGAUGAACGUUCAUUCAAGCUAAAAUCAACACGAACCCAUAAGCUGAUUCCUGAUUUUUGUUUAUCCUAAACCAAAACAGCCUCCCGGUUUUAAUCAAAUUAAACAAACAAUAACAAAUAAACAAAAAACUACAAAACUAAACAACGGAUACCCAGAAUCAAGGGGAACAAAUCACAUAUGAAUUCAACAGUAAGAAUACCUGAGAUAAUAAAAAAGCGUUUAAAACCCAAAAAUUUAAUUGGGGAAUUAACUGAAGUUUAGAGAUGCUUACAAAUUGAGAGAGAGAGAGAGAGAGAGAGAGAGAGAGAGAGAGAGAGAGAGAGAUUAGAAGAGGAACAGGGAAGAGAGUUUCGACUCGCUGGGCUUUAGUUGAGCUGGAGAUGUUUUACACCACACCCACUGUUAUAACUUUUGUUUCUGUCUUCCAU
rnacentral:lncRNA from 1 species